AUGAGGCUGCGUCCUCUGCCGUCGAGGAGGCGACGUUGGCGUGGUCCUCCGGCUAUGGGGGUACGGACCAAGCGUGGUCCUAUUCCUCCGGAGGGGACGAUCACCAGUAUAGCUUACAAAUUGGGGAACCACGGGCUGAUUCUGCUGCUGUUGGAGACACCCUCGGGCUUUGCAAUUCUAUCUUUCGAUGGGGUCCAGCUCUAUCUACCAGGCGCCAAGGAGAAUAUCUGGUCGAACUUCGGAGCAGAAUAUAUGGCGCGAUAUAUUGUUUGGCUCAAACAAUUCAAGAAGUUCAAGGACAAGUCCAGCGCCAUUAGAUCUGACACUAGUGUUUGCAGAAGGCUGUCUAAGUUCAUCAAGAGGUGGCGCCGUCCUGGGCAGAUGUUAGUUGUUGGGAAACCUGAGUAUAAAACAAUCAUAGAAGCGAGCAUGGGCAUACCUUGCAUUUUCGAUGAAACUGUGAUGGAGGUGAUGUGGGGCGUGAAGCAUAUCAUGCAUAGUCUAGUGCCUAUGGAAAAAUCAGAGCUGACUAAGGAGGAACGCCUCCCCAUGAGUCAAGGACUAAUAAUGUUCCUGAAUCGUAAAGGCUUCGAUGUCAAACCAGAGAUGGUCAAUGAAUGUAUUGUUCUGUCAGCAUGUGCCUUGUAUGAUUGCGAUGAAAUCAAGAAGAAACAUGAUGCGUCCUUGAGGCGUGCCGGUGAGCAACUUAAGGAUGUGUCUGGCAUCAACACCCAGGGCUGGAGCUUACUGAAACUUUCAACAGCUCUGAUGCUCAUAUGUUUCUCCGAAGAAGAAAUUCUAGUUGGUGAACCGGAAGAGAUUUUUACAGCUGAGGAGCUAUCGAAUUUCCAGGAUGAUGCACACGAAUAUGACGACAAGAUCUCAAAGUACCCAUGCCGAAGAAUCUAUGAAGAACUAGUGUGUGCCUUUGAAGCUAGAGCAGCGAAUAGAAUACUUUUGACCUCCUUGGUUAAGGAGGCAAGCGUGUGUUUCUCUCCGGUACCCGAAGCUUGCAAAGUACAGCCAUCGCAUAUAGCUAAGAAUAGCAUCAAUUCAUUCGAUAACCCGCCGAGAAAAUUUGUAAUGCCGGCUCCUGCUAUUGAGCAAGUUUGUAGAACAAAGAAGACCGUGCAGCCCUCCAGAUGGGUGCGGAUGCUUUCCAACGUGAAGCUCUUGCCUCACAUGCUCACGGUUUUCAUGAAGCGGGGGCUCGGAUCCUGCAGAUUGCUGCAGGAGAUCAUGACGAAGGUACAUCGCUGGAGGAAGAUGAAGCUGUUGACAUGCAGGAAGAUUGAGAAUGUUGGUGGUACAGCUUGCUAA
rnacentral:rRNA from 1 species